rnacentral:rRNA from 1 species
UCAGACGAUGCGUCAUGCAUAUCAAUAAGCGGAGGAAAAGAAACUAACAAGGAUUCCCCUAGUAACGGCGAGUGAAGCGGGAAGAGCUCAAAUUUGAAAUCUUAAAGGGUUUCCCUUUACGAAUUGUAGUUUAAAGAAGUGUUUUCUGUUGAGGUUUUGGUAAAAGUUCUUUGGAAUAGGACAUCAUAGAGGGUGAGAAUCCCGUAUUUGACCUUUACUUUCAACUUUGUGAUACACUUUCAAAGAGUCGGAUUGUUUGGGAAUGCAGUCCAAAAUGGGUGGUAAAUUUCAUCUAAAGCUAAAUAUUGGCGAGAGACCGAUAGCGAACAAGUACCGUGAGGGAAAGAUGAAAAGAACUUUGAAAAGGAGAGUUAAACAGUACGUGAAAUUGUCAAAAGGGAAGCGUUUGACACCAGUGUUGUUUUUCUGAAAAUCAAUUAAAGAACUGUUUAUGCUAAGUUGUUUAGACUUUAUCAGCUAACUGUUUAGUUUUGAGCUUUUCUUUAAUGCACUUUUCAGUUAACAAGUCAACAUCAAUUUCUUUUGCUGUAAAAAAGCUUGAGGAAGGUGGCUUGAGAUUCGUCUUAAGUGUUUAUAGCCUCUUGCCUAUGCAGUCGGAGAGAUUGAGGUCUGCAGCGUAGAUCCUUCGGGGCUAAAUGCAUUUGUGCUAAGUUAUAGCAUUUUAUAGACAACUUGUUGACUAUGAUUUGUCUUGUAGCUUACUCGCUUAUGUUAUUUUACCUACGCUUAGGAUGUUGAGCGCAUGUCUCUCUCU